rnacentral:rRNA from 1 species
AUGAGGAUUUGGCCAAUCCCCUCCACGCGCGCGCACCCAAUCCCAUCCUUGUCUCACCUCAGCCGCCUCACCUCAGCCGCCCCCGCACAAACCCUAGCCCCUUUUCUCCUCCAUUCCCACAGCCGCCGCAACCCUCCCUCUCGGUCUCCCCUCCCUCCCCACCUCCCUUGUCAGCGGUUGCCGCCACUCCACCUCCCUCUUCUCUGUCGCCGGCGGCCAGCUCAUCCGCCAUGGACGGAGGGUGUCAAUCGCAAGCAGCGCUGGCGGACGAGCACACACGCAUGUCCUCUUCCUGGUGGAAGGCAACUCGAGCAUGGGAGUGUGGCCACGGCUGGGCACCAUGGGUUGGCCGAGGUGUUUCAUGGUGAGGAACAGGUGCGCCAUUUUCCAAUCCGUCCUGCCCAGCCCGAUGCCUACCAUGAAUUCAGCACAGUUUGA